GAUGACUCUGUGAGCAAUGCAGUGUGUUUGUCAUGGUCCUGCCAAUGCACAUUUUUAAUGUGCAAAUGCUUACAAAGUGUUCCCAAUCCCUUACUUUCUCAUCAUUUGUACAUGUAGGAUUUUCACUUUCCCUGCUCCCUUCUCUUUUACAGCCAAAUAUCCUUUUGCACUCAAUGACAUAUCAGAGAAUAUUGAGAUUAAGAAG